UUAAUUUUAUGGGCCAGGACAUGGUCUGUCUUGUAUACUCUGUGGACACUUGGAAAGACCAGUAUCUUUGUUUUUACCCCAAUAUCUUUUAAAUAAAUUCCUUUUCUGUCAGCCAGUGUCUGUGUCUUGCAUCUGAACUCUAACUACUACCCCUUUGCAACUGCAUUUGUUUAUUAGCCUUUAUUGUAGCACUAACUAUCCCAUACUCCCUAAUCGUCAGUUUACACCUUAGUCUCCAUCACUACACUGUAAGCUUGAAGGCAUAGAUUUUGUCUUUUUUGUAUGCGUCCAGCCUGGUACGUGGCAAAGAAUUUAUAGUGUUUGAUUAAGGAGUAAAUGAAUAGCUUUUAUUCAUGAUCACCAUUUUUAAAAACUUUGAUCUGUGGAGAUUUAAUUCUUAUCUUUUCAGUUUUGUAUAUUUUGUCAGUUUUCAUCUUAAAAGCAGGGUGGUUUUGGUUUCAUAGCUUGUGUUCAGUAAGUAACUGACCCCAGAAACAGACUGUAAAUGUCUAUUAUAUGAUUGGAAUGACAUUUUAUUUCAGCUUAAUCAUGCCAUAGUUCAAGCAGAGACAUGUGAGAAGUUCCCUACUCAUUCCACAAGACCUAUUUUGCAACUCCUGCUAUUUCGUUUAUUUCAGGUUGACUUGUUCUCUAGUUGUAGAAGUGUUGUUUCCACAGCAAUGCAGUUUACAACGCACAUCCCUGUCAGAGUGCACAGAAACCCUGCUGUGUUGCCUGGAAGCCUAGUUUUCCAGUCAGAAAGGAAGCACAUGGUAUUCCCUCAGCCUUUCCUGCACUUAACUUUGGCUUGCGUUGUGGAUAACAAGAAAAUCUUGGUUGUUUUCUACCGUAGAUGCUGGGUUAAUAAUGUAUCUAAGAGAUUUUGAUGUAUAAUGUGCCCUGUUACUACAGUGUUCAGGCUGUGGCUGGUGACUGCUAGCAAAGUUGCUGCGUGGAAUAGAUGUAGGGAUGUUACAGGAAUGUGAGCUAAACAGUCUGCCACUCAGCAUGAAAUUCUAUUUAUUGCUAAGGCAGUUUGGGGCAACUGCCUGUUUGUUGCUUUGGAUGAUUUUCUUAUGGUUUUUACUGCCUAUGAGAACACAAUAGAACUGAGUGAACCUGGAGAAGUGGAGAAAGAAACUGUUGGCCUUUCUGAGUGGUUUCCCUGACCUUCAACUAGGAGCAUAUUUAGUGACUUCAUGUUUUUCUUCCUUUGGAACUAAAUUGACUAGAUUGUACCUGAACACAAGAAGUCUUUUUCAUAUCUUCUCUCACACUUAGUUUCUUCUUUGCCACCUUUUUCUUUUCUUUAUUUCUUUUAUUACUUCAGCUGGAAGCCUUGUUAUAUGGACAUUCUUUGGAAAUGUUCAAGAAAGAGAUGAGUUAUAAAUAGAGCAGAAUUUCGGAGAGACAAGGUUAUCAUCUUAAUUGUGAUUGGUCAAUAAAUUGAAGAGAUUUGUGUGGACUCACACCAAUAUAGUGGUAGGGGAAUGAUGGAGAGCAUUUUAAUGAUAAUUAUACUCCACACUUGAAUAUUUUCUCAGUCUUCAUGUAUUCAUCUAUUCAUCAUGUAUCAAACAGCAUUCAUUAAGUACUGCUUUUUGGUUCCCAUAGCAUUUGACUUUUAUGACAGGAGGUAGGUUCAUUAUCAUAGGGGCCUUAAGUGUUCAAUUCAAUGAGUUUUCACAAUUGUAUAAUCCAUAUAACUGAUACAGGGCACAGCCAAGCUCCCAGUUGGGGCUUAGCCCUGGAGGGUCUUGGCUUUGCUCAGGAAGUAAUUCAAGAGCUAGGUGGUGGUAGAAGAAACAGCUUUAUUGAAGCGGAAGUGUUAACAGCUCCUUGACUGCUCCUGCAGAGCAGGGUUACUGCAUAGGCAUUGUGCUGAGAGUAGCAGCUCAGGGCAGUUCUGCAGUCAUAUUUAUACCUACUUUUAAUUACAUGCAGAUUAAGGGGCAGUUUAUGCAGAAAUUUCUAGGAAAAGGGUAAUAACUUCUGGAUUGUGAGGUCAUUGCCAUGGGAAGGGGCGGUAACUCUCAGGUGUUGUCAUAGCAACAGUAAACUGACAUAGCACACUGGUGGGUGUGUCUUACAGAAAGCCGCUUCUGCCCCAUACCUGUUUUAGCUAGUCAUCAAUUUGGUUUGGUGUCCAAGCCCUGCCUCUGGAGUCCUGUCCUGCCUACUACUUCAUAGCCACUAUCCAAGAUAAGUAUUCUCAGUUCACAUGCCACUGGGUCAUCAGAAGACAAGUAUCUGGAUUUCAGAGCCAACAGUUUGCUUUUAAGCUGCAAGACCCUCCAUUGCCAUAAGAUCUGCCAGUGCCGUAAUAAGAAAACCUCAGCUGGAACUUCUGCUGCAGCCAUUGAGGUCUAUGCAUAGGCCUCCUGCUUUCGCUUCUGGUUCCAUGUAAUAUCAUUGUUUAUAAAAAGAAUUAGUGUCUGUUCUGUAUAAAACAACACUGUGGGGCAGAAGCUUUGCAGUCAUUAGUAAGAGGGGCCACCGCGAACUACAGUUUCAUUGAAAAGCCAUUAUUUUCCCUCUUAGGAAAUAGAACUUUAAGUGAGGCUUGCUUUUAUAGCAACUGAAGGAAUGGAAGAGCAAAGAGUAGUGUUCUCGAGGGUACCUUAACUUACAGCUUGUGUUGUAGGUCGAGAUUGGCUGCAUUAUUAUGUUACAUGGUUUGUUGAGCUAUGGUGAGCCUAUUUUCCAAACCAAAAAUCAGCACAGCUAUUCUGACAGUAUUUUUUAAGUCAAAUGUAAUUAUACAUUUAGAAGUAAAAUUAAAAGUUGAGACUGUCCAGGAAAACCCAGAACAUAGGGAUGCCUUGCCUGGAAGACAGGAGGUUCACUCCUCAAAGGCGAAGUAUGCUGAACUUUAAACUUGACUCCACUUGCCUUUCAGCACAGUGUUGAUAUCAGCCCUCCUAGAGCUGCAGCUGGGCCUGCCUUUCUACCCAAAGUAGGAUGCUACACCACAGGCCAUAGGCAAGACCACUGAUCUGUAUGGAGACUUGAUUUUUAGUAUGAAGGAUAUUUUUUGCCUGGCCUUGAAGCCUGUAGUGCAGACAUGGAAAAGGAAAUGACAGUACUGACCCAGGACUGUCCCAUCUGACUUAUUACCCAAUUUGUGUAGAUCAUGCAGUCUAGGAACUAGCAAGCAUUCGAUUUUGGCAAAAGCAUCUCCGAAUGAAUAACUUCAUUGAAUUCUUGAGUUUUUCUGAGUUCCUUCAUUUUGUACAAAUGACUUCCUGUAGGUAUGGGAAUUACUGGUCAAGAUAGGCUCUUUUGCUUGUUUUCCUGAGGCCACGCUUUCAGCUCAUGCCAUAGCAGAAUACUGCAGAAUAGAAGAAGGAAGAGAGCAAAAAAUAAUAAAAAAAAUUCUGAAAACAAAUACAAGGAAACCUGGGACCCAAAGAGGAAACAGACGUUGAGAAAUUCAAAAAGAAACCAGACAAGGAGAGAACAUGUUCAUGUGUUCAGAGUUGUUUUCUACAGUGUAUUUAUGGAGGGUACUAGUGCCUUUUGACAGUUCUAUUGUGUAUUGUAAGAAAACAUUUUUUAAUUCUUUGAGCUUUUUACAUGCUUAUCCCUUCCUAAGUUGAUUUGUGUGUUUUUUUGGUUUUGUUUUUCGAGACAGAGUCUUGCUGUGUUGCCCAGGCUGGAGUGCAGUGGCACGAUCUCAGCUCACAGCAACGUCCGCCUCCCAGGUUUAAGCGAUUCUCAUGCCUCAGCCUCCUGAGUAGCUGGGAUUACAGGCGUGUGGCACCACACUUGGCUAAUUAUUGUAUUUUUAGUAUACGUGGGGAUUCACUAUGUUGGCUAGGAUGGUCUUGAACUCCUGACUUCAAGUGAUCCACCUGCCUCAGCCUCCCAGAGUGCUGGGAUUACAGGUGUGAGCCACCGGGCCCGGCUUUAAGUUUAAACAAUAUCUGACUUGCCUGGGUGCAGUUACUCAUGCCUGUAAUCACAGCACUUUGGGAGACUGUGGCGGGUGGAUCGCUUGAGGCCAGGUGAUCAAGAGCAGCCUGGCUAACAUGGCAAAACCCCAUCUCUACUAAAAAAUACAAAAAUUAGCUGAGUGUGGUGGUGCAUGCCUGCAUUCCCAGCUACUGCAGAGGCUGAGGCAGGAGAAUCACUUGAACCCAGGAGGUGGAGGUUGUAGUAAGCCAAGAUCACACCACUACAAUCCAGCCUGGGCCACAGAGUAAGACCCUGCCUCAGAAAAAAAGAAAAGAAAAGAAAAUUGGUGAAUAGGUGGAAUGUUUGAAAGAAUAGCCAAAAAUGUAUCUUAACAUUGGGUGAUGUUUCUAGAGGUAGUGUGGAAGAUCAACUGCUGUUUCUUACUAUUUCUUUUUAAAAGAGAAUUCUUAUGUGAAUCUUGUUAACAUCUUACCUGUAAUAUUUUUAUGGUUUGUUUAAUGGUCAGUUGUUAAAUUUGUCUAUUGAAAAUUAAUGUUGCUUAAAUAUUACAUAUAAAUUAAGGUAGCUUGUUCUUUUAAGCACAUUAAACAUCUUAACAGAUAAAACGUAAAUACAAUUAUUAAUAAGACUUAUUCUGUGUGGUUUGGGGUAAACUAGUGGCAAAUUUCCAAUUAUCUUGAUUUUCAACAAUUUCUAGUAGAAGGGAUUUUAUUCAGCCACAGAAAGGUUAUUGUUAUAUAUGCUCUGUUUUUGUCUUUAACUUAUGCUCCCAUUGGGGGUUAUUGAGAUGUAAGAAGAGGGGUGGUAUUCCUUUCCAUGUACAAAAACCCGUUUUGGACCCUCUGGUGCUAAAUUAUUUUUACAAAAUUAGUUUUGUUUCGCUUUCUUUCGGUUAACCAUAGUUAUUUUCUUUUUGAAGCUCAGAUUGUCGUAGAUUGGCUAAUGGCAUUGUCUUUGAGCUGAUUCCUUUGUCCUUUUGUCACUAACUCUGGCAGUCUGAAAAGUAUUCUUACUUUCUGGCAGUGCUAGAAAAUACCAGAAUGGUCUUUAUUGUGUUUUUGCCCCAAGACAUGGAGUCAUCUCCCAUCUAGGUUCCUGGUUCCUUUAGUGGAAAGUAAUAUUAGAAACCAAAAUCUGGGCUGGGCGCCGUGGCUCAUGCCUGUAAUCCCAGCACUUUUUGGGAGGCCAGGAUGGGAGGAUUCCUUGAGGCCAGAAGUUCAAGACAGGCUGCCCAACAUAGUGAGACCCCCUUCUCUACCAAAAUUUUAAAAAUGAGCAUGCAUCUGUAGUCCUAGCUAUUGGGAAGGCUGAGGCAGGAGGAUCAUUUGAGCCCAGGAGUUCGAGGCUACAGUGAGCUAAGAAGGUGCCGCUGCACUGCUGUUGUCUCUCGGCAGAUCAUUUUCAGCUUUCUUUGGAGAGUAGCCAUUAGCAAUGCAAAUGAGAAGUUUGACAGCACAAUAAAUAAAACACUGAAAACUAUAGAUGUUACUUAUAAAACACUGGCACUCAGAUAAAUUGGGUUUGGUCAAGAAGACAGUGAAGCAUAUCCCUGUUGGGCCAGAGGCUGUUACUGUUUUGCUCCGAAUUCAAAACCUGAUAUGUUUCCAAAUUUGCUUAGGGUUGUUAUCCUGGAAAAGAGAAUCUGAUAGAAGGUGGGCACUGAUACUUAGUGCAAGGUGGAGGUCAUCAUGGUUAGGGCAAUUGCAUACAGGUCAUGACUGCAUUGGAGUCUCAGGAAAGAUUGGUUUAGUGAUUUGGCAAGUCCAAGGCAUGAGUUUUGGGUGGUUUUGUUGUUUCGUCUUAUUUUUCCACCCUUUAAGAGUCUUAGGGGAAAACAGCAUCAUUGAAUAGACUAGUUAAAAAUUCAGCACUUAAUCCCCUUCACAGCAUAUUAGCCUCUGCAGAACUUUGCUAUUUUGGAACCAGUGGUGUGAAUUAUUCUCUGUUAAUAAGAAUCUGGCUUUCUUUUCCUGUUGGAAAAGAGGCUUGUGUGCAUGUUACUCUGAUUCAGUAGUUCUCAAACUUUUUGUUCUCAGGACCUCUUUACGCUCUUCAAAAUUAUUGACUGGGUUAUAACUGUUGUUCUUUAUAGUAUAAGAAAUUUAAAAAAUCUAGUAUAUUUUUAAAAUUUAGAAUAGCAUUGUGAUUUUGUAAAUUUCUUUAAUGUCUGGCUUAAUCGAAGAUAGCUGGAGUGUCAGAUCUGCUUUUCCAUUCAGUCUAUUUUAAUCAGUUGUUUUGCCUGAAUUAUAUGAAGAAAAUUUAGUCUCACUCAAAUAUGUAGUUGGAAAAGGAAGGAGUAUUUUACUAGCUGUUUUGUUAAUUUUGGUUAUCCUUUUGUGAUACUACGCCAAAAUGUGAACAGUGAUGUAACAGCAUGCAUUAAUCAUUUCAGAACUACUGAUUAGUGGGUUAUACAGCUUUUCUAAUGUUGACUGAUUUCAUUAGACAUUCUCAACAAGUCACAUUCAUUAAUAGCAGUGCCAAUCAGAAAAGUCUUCACAAGGAAGCUGUCUAGUUCACGGUGGUAGGCAACAAGUUUUCCAAAAUUCUAAAGCUCAGAAUUUAUCACUGCCAGCAGAUACUGUCAUGUCUUGGACAGACAGACAUUGUUCAGUUUCGAGAAAAGAGAAAAUAUCUGUCGAAUACUUAAGUAUGAAUAACCAUAGUCUAUCUGCCAGUCAUUUUUUCGGGUAAAAAUGGUGUUCAUGGGGGAAAAGUAGAUAAUUCAGCUUGUAAUUUGGUUGUACAAAUGCUCUUCCUGAAGACUCCCACUCUUGGCAGAAGUGCUUUGUGAUCACUUUCAUUUUCAUAAAAAAUAUUUAAAAGAUACCUAGUACAGAAUCAAGAUUUAAUAAAUUACUUCAUUUUAUGUAAAAUAUUUAUUUUACUUAAUAACUUGCUGCUUCAUUCUUUUUUUUUU